CAACAGGUGCCGCAGGUGGUCUUUUGUAGAGAGAGGCUCCAAGCUCCUUUGGCUCUUUCUUUUUCAGCAGAAGGGAAAUGACUUUCUGCUAUUUCUGGGUGGUUCUACUGCAGCUGGUCUUAAUUUGCAAUAGUUCUUAAUCUAACCUGCAGCAACAUCCCUAUCUCUGGGUUGUUCUGCUCUUAUGUGUUCCCUGUGUACUUGCCUGUGGUCACAUAACUGUGUACAUCAGUAGACUCCACAAUUCAUGACAAGCAAUGGCCUUGUCACCAGUCCUUCCUCCUCUGCUCUGCUGUGACAUGUACCUCAGUGCUCUUCACCUUUGUUCCAGAAGUGAUUUUGAUGGGCAGGUGCAUAAAAAUUAAUGAGCAAGAAAGCGUUCACCUGGAGUUUGAUGUGAAAAGCACACUGGACUGCAAAAGCAGUGAUAGCUGGUUAAACUGUAAGUAUGACUGCACCAGCAUCUUGUAUUUAGAGAUGGUUUGGGGGUGGCUGUGGAAAAAGUAUAAGCAAUAAUAUGAGUGCUUUUCCUGACUGCCAAGUUCCUGACUGCCACUGUGGGGUGAAAGGCUAAUCAUCUGGAUGGGGAGCCAGGUGACUUCCUCUGAGAGGUAAAGAGAUGUUCUUCAGAGUGGUGUGUGAAGACCUGAAGUUCCUUCUCUUUGCCAUUGUAUACACUGCAACAGAAGCAUCUUCAUGUCAGACAUUGUAUUCAGGCUGGGAGAAAGAUAGCACAUCCAUAAAGCUUUUCUGUAGCUUGACCUUUGCCAGAUAAAGGUUGUCACCUUUUCCCUUCAAUCUCAAAGCUAGUUUCCUUCUGUGAAGUGCCAUACUCACACAGUUCCUUACAGAAACAAGGUAACUCACCACAGGAUCCAAGAUCCUGAUGAACCAGAACAUCACAAAAUGAUAGAGGACAUAUCGCGAUCCUGCAGAGUAUCAGAAAAACUAUUUCAGAUUUUGCAGUAAUUUUCCAGAUCUGAAAUUUGAAGCCCAUGGGACUGCUUAGUGAAUGGCAACUCUACUCCUUGCAAUUGCAAAUGAAUGUCACAAAGUAAGAAAUCUUCCUCCCCAUUUACAGGUAUGACCAGUCAUAAGUGAAUCUUCUACACCAAAUCAGUACAGCUCCUGCUUCCUCAUUUUUACUUUUCUUGACCUUCCAUUCUGAAGCAAAAUUGUCAGAGGAACAGUAGAUCCAAAGUGAAAUACCACAUGAACAAUUUAUAUUAAAUUUGAUGUUUCAGUACUGGGAUGUAAGUGGAGCCAGGUCACUGCCAAAGCACAGAAGGAUAUGAACAGAUCUGAGCUUAUUCUGCCCAAGGUAUGAGCUGAGUAGAUACCAGUCAGCAAGUCCAGAAACUAUGUGAACAUGGUAGCAUGUCUAAUCUGUUGUUAUUCCUGUCUAAGCCAAUGUGCCCUUGCUACCAAAAAUAUCCCUGCAUGCUAUUUUUCACAUUUUUCUGAAGCAUACAGAAACUAAGUUGUACGAUUGUACAUACUGUAG
rnacentral:lncRNA from 1 species